CUUUUUUGGCAGUGCACAGCCAGAGGACAACACAUCACACACAAGAAACAGUUGUGCUCAUGUGAUGGGGGCCUCAGCACUAGGAAGGAGUGGACUGUUGGCGCACGCAGCAGCUUGAAUAAAUCUGAAAGUCACUACGCUGCGUAAGAGAAGCCAAAUAAAGCGCAUGCUGUGUACAGAGGGUGUCGAGAAUGCCUCCUACGUGACGGAAAGCAGAUCCGUGGUUCCCUGCAGACUGGCAGGAGCAGAUUCCAAAGGCACAGGAAGAAGCUUGCAGUACAAAGAUAAAAAUCUAAAGUGGUUGCUGUGGAGGACAGGGGUCAGUGGUGGAAGUGAGACCGAAAUAGACUCUGAAGUAAUAUCUGGACUUUGAAAUUGUUUCCUUAAUGACAACAAAAAAGGGAGUAAUCCUACCCACUGUAAGAGUCAUGACUCUUGAUUGCAGCUGACAGAAACUCAUGACAGCCUGCUUUAGAUGAAGGGGGAGAGAAGGACUGGAAGAAUCUUGGAGUUGGGAAUGUCACACGUAAUUGAAGGAAGAACAAGAAAACUAUAGCAGCUGCUCCCAACCCCAGAACCUUUGCUGUCUUGGGACGGAUCACCGCUGCAAGAGGGGAAGUUGCUACUGUGAUGAAUUCUGCCAUGUGGCACCAGACUGCCACCCAGACCACAGUGUCCUCUGCAACCCUGGUAACUCACAUACAGGCCCGAUUCCACCUACAGCAAAGCUGGAUGCGAUGGCUGGCAGAGGCAAACCCUUUGCCUGCACUUCAGGCCAAAGCCGGGAUGUGGCCUAGAUGGUUCCUAAGGUCCCUGACAAUCCUGAGAUCUUGCAUCUUGUCUAUUUCAGGUCAAAGCUUCUCAGAUGACCAAGAUGGUGCUGCAGAUGGUGCUGAGGAUGGAGAACCCACCAAGCCC
rnacentral:lncRNA from 10 species